UGCCAGCAGCCGCGGUAAUACGGAGGGUGCAAGCGUUGCUCGGAAUUACUGGGCGUAAAGCGUGCGUAGGCGGACCUUCAAGUCGGGUGUGAAAGCCCGGAGCUCAACUCCGGAACGGCAUCCGAUACUGUUGGUCUAGAGUACCGGAGAGGGAAGCGGAAUUCCAGGAGUAGCGGUGAAAUGCGUAGAUAUCUGGAAGAACACCCGUGGCGAAAGCGGCUUCCUGGACGGAUACUGACGCUGAGGCACGAAAGCGUGGGGAGCAAACAGGAUUAGAUA
rnacentral:rRNA from 1 species